GCAAGUCGAACGGCAGCAUGGGUACUUGUACCCGAUGGCGAGUGGCGGACGGGUGAGUAAUGCAUAGGAAUCUGCCCAUUUGUAGGGGAUAACGUAGGGAAACUUGCGCUAAUACCGUAUACGACCUGAGGGUGAAAGCGGGGGAUCUUCGGACCUCGCGCAGAUGGAUGAGCCUAUGUCAGAUUAGCUUGUUGGUGGGGUAAUGGCUCACCAAGGCGACGAUCUGUAGCUGGUCUGAGAGGACGAUC
rnacentral:rRNA from 1 species